GUGAUAAACUGCUACAAUACAUAUGACCCUAAUUUAAGCCCAUAGAAAAAUCUAUUUUGUUCAUUUGGGACACCCGACUGUUGUUUUAAGACUUGAAAAAGUGUGAAUCUAUCCUUUAAAAUAUCGGACGUGCCGUUAUAGCGCAGACAGGAAGAAGAAAUGAAACGUGGACAGUUUGUUAUGGACAGCCACAUUUCAUUUCCUGCCGGCUUGACGCAGCUUUUAACAGACCACCAGGCGCACCGGCAGCCCCUGUCUCUGCUGACUCAGUGCCUUACCAGCAGUCGCUUCACUCCGAGAAACAAGCAGCCAGCAACCAACGCACACUCCUCCGAGCAACCCGCCCCGGCACCACCACAGAAAAUGGCUAAGACCGCAAUUGCUUACAAAGAGAAGAUGAAGGAGAUUUCUGUUCUCUCACUCAUCUGCUCUUGUCUGUACCCUGAGACCCGCAAAAACAUCAUGGGUGACUUUGAGGACAUGGAUAUCAAGCCCAUUAACAAGCGCGCCUCAGGCCAGGCCUUUGAGGUUAUCCUGAAGCCGACCUCCCCUGUGUCCGAUGUUAACCACUGCAUCACCACCCCUCCCAAGAAGGACCUUUCCCUGGAGGACAUCCAGAAGAAACUGGAGGCAGCUGAGGACCGGAGGAGAUCCCAGGAGGCGCAGGUACUCCGGGCCCUGGCUGAGAAGCGGGACCACGAGCGCGACGUGCUCCUGAAGGCCAUGGAGGAGAACAGCAACUUCAGCCGCAUGGCUGAGGAGAAGCUCCAGCAGAAGAUGGAGCAGAUCGAGGAGAAUCGGAUGGCCUACCUGGCCAGCAUGAUGGAGCGCCUGCAGGAGAGGAUGAAGCACUUGAAGUAGAAGAUGUGGAAAAACAGCUAACAAAGAGGAGUUGUCAAAGGCGGAGGUAAAGAAUCGUAUGAAGGGGAGAGAAGAAGACAUGAGAAGAGCCUCGGGAGAGGCGUGCUCAGGAGGUGCGCAGGAACAAGGAGUUGAGAGAAGAGGUGACAGCGUGAGAAGCCCCAAAAGGUUCUACGUCCCACCUCCAAUCCCCCUCCCCCCCACCACCACCACCCCGACCCUGAGGAACACACCCCUCUCCCAGCUUAUCCCACAUGUCCCCACCUCUCCACCCCCCGCCAUACUCCCCCAUACUACAAUGAAAGUACCACAGCCUGAGACGCCACCCCGAGACAGUGGGAGGUUUGAAUGGGGUUGGGGGUGGAUCCAAAAAUGAAAAAAAAAAAAAGAAUUGAAAAAAAGAAAAAUUAAUGUCUCCCACCCACUCUUCCCAAAAAAGAAUGUUUUUGCUCCGUUUCCAAUGAGAACAAAAAAUCAAAUUGACAAGUGACAGUGGGUAUUGGUUUUUGUAAAUACUUCUUUUUUUGUUAUAUACAGUACGAUACAAGCAGCAAAAGUAUUGAUUGCAGUGUGCCAUUUUAUAUAUAAGUUUCCUCUCCUUGCAUAUAUAUGGAUGUAAUAAUUUGUUCAUUUUCAUGUUUUUUUUUUUGUUUGUUCAUUUCAGCCUGAGAUUCUCUUUUUUUAUUAUUAUUACUAUGAUUUUUGAGGUUUCUCUCGUGUGGUGACAGGCUUAGGUGUUUGUUGUGAGUUUGCCAGCUAGCUGAUGUUUGCUGUGACUGGUUGCGUCCUCACACGGCCCGCAUCCUGGCUCCGUUCCCUCGUCCCUUCGAGUGGGCACUUACUCAUUUGACCCCGCAGAUCUGGAAACAAAAAUUGGAUCUGUUUGCUCCGAGUGAUUUUCCAUCCAUUUUAUGCCAAUGUUCCAAUUAGUGAGGGACAUGUGCGGGGGAAGUUGGCAAAAGGAAAGGGGACAGGCUGCUCUUCUGUGGGGACUGCAAGCCAUCGCCGCACAUCCACUCCUGUGAGGUAGAAGGUGACUGUACCGCAGGAGAACAUUAUAGCAUUUAAUGAGCCCAUCCUCAUCCUCCCCCCUCCCUCCCUCCCCCCUCCUCCGUCUGCAACCUCUUCAUCUCUCCACAUACAUAUAUACUGUAGAAGCACUCACUCACACGCUCUCCACAUGGGCAGGCGUUUAGCCAAUCAUAGCACAGAGCUCAGGAGGAGCUCGCUGAAUUCUGUCCAUCUGGCACCGGAAAAGCUCACGUAACAUCCCUGACCAAUGGCGGGCCUCUUAUAUUCCUCAGAAACAAGCUUCCAGCCACAUUUCAAUCACAUGUUACUGUAGUACCCAACACAACAAAGAACGCGACAGAUACAGGCAUUGAGUGCAAAAACUUCACCUGAAAUCACACUUGUUACUGUGAAUCUUAAAAUCGGAGAAAAUACAAAUAAUUUCCGUCUUUCUCCAUCUGAUAGAGGCUAGAGUAGUGCUCGAUAUCAUCAGCACCUACCGGAAUCAUUGCACUUCACUCCAAGACACUGUAAUUGCCACUGAACGGCUGGCACAAGAAAGAUAUUUAAGCCAUAACAGGUAUCACUGCAACAACAAUUCAUGAACACAGUAUUGCCAUCUGUAAAAGUGUAUAUGAGUGUAUUAAAAUAUCCAAAUAGUUUGUAACCAGGGGUGUUGAAGCCUGAGGUUGAACCCUGUCGGUCACACACGCACGGUAGGCCCAUAGAUGUGUGUGAGUGUGUGCGCAUAUUUCAGAAAAAGGGUGGGUAGAUACUGUAUGUUUGUGCCAUGUGAUAUUGAUCCGGUGACGUAUAAACCACCAUCACAGUGUAACAGCUGUCAGAAGUACAUCACAGACAGUGACUAUCCUACCUGCCUCUCGCUCUCUCUCUCUCUCUUUCGCUCCUCUGUCCAUUUGUGUGUUUCCCCCUCUCCACAUAUAUCUUUGUGAGCAAGCAGUGGUUAAUAAAGAUUUGGGGUUCAGUGAA